UAAUUUUUUUUUUUUUGCUUCCAUAGAGAUAAUGCCACUAAUGUGACCCUGGGCUCUGAGAAGAGAGCCAUGGUUUCCUCCAGCCAAUUAAGGAGUGGCAUGGACCAGGCUCCAAAGGAGCAGCACAGCAGUGGCCACUUAGCCCUUCUUUCUCAGUAGAAAGGGGAGAAGGGGAAGAAAACAGGAGAUCACAAGCCUCCUCCAGGGAUACAUUCUCACAGAAGACAGCAGAUUCUCUACAAAUGAAGUUCAGUGAAAAACAGUCUCACCGCCAGAAGCCGAGGCACAAACAGCCGAUGCCCCAUCCCCAGAAGUUCCAGCACCCGGCACGCAUACUCAUUCACCAGCUUGCUCCUCUCGUCGUGCAUGUCCUGGGACUUUUUGACAGGAGGGGUGAGCUUCGCAGCUGGGGCUGGGCAGGGCACCCCUUCUUCCAUGAGCAGUAAGUAGGUAUCCAGAAUGAGAAAGCUGGGUCUCUUAUCCACAAUCUUAAGAACUGCGGUGGGAGGGGAGCCAGGCUGAUGUCUCCCCAGGAGGAUGCACAGAACAGUCAGUGGUGGGAAUUGUCAGCUAAUGUCGCCACGAGAAAAACAUCUUGGCUAAAUUAUCCACUGAGCAAGAGCCCCAAAGUAGACUAAAAAUGAAAAUGGAAUCAAAUGCUGAUCUAAAUAAAAAAUGGCAAAAACAACCAAAUGCAAGAAAAUGGCCAAGAGUGAUGCAGGAGUUCAGACACACGUGUGAAAGCGGACAAGCUGCUUGGAAGGUCUGGCACGUUCCAGUGUAUGUGUGUGCUAUGUGUGUGUGUGUGUGAGAGAGAGAGAGAGCGUGUGUGUCUAUCUCUGCGUGUGAGGACAGGAAGCCAGGGCAGUUGUGAAGCUGCAAGGAGAAAAGGAUGAGCUCAUUGCAAUCCUCGAUUCGUGACAAGCAGUGCUGCUGCUGCCACUGCUGCUGCUGCUACUGCUGCUCUGCCUCUUGCUGUGAAUCAGUAAUGAAGGGGUGCUCUGCCUUGGGUCCCACAUAAGUCUGAUCAAAGACAGUCUGAGGAGAGGAAAACCACAGCAGUCCAAUACAUGCAGUGUGCGGAUAGGAGAGAUUCAGUAACGAGCAGCUCAAAAAAGCAAUUAGAUCUUGAGCUUAUACAGCAUCUCAACAAAGAACAAUAAUUUUGCAGAGAAGUGACAAGACAAACAAAGGAAAAGAACUUUGAGCUUCUGGCGUGACAAACUGUACACAGCAGGGAAACUGACGUGCACAAGGGCUGCUCAGGUGAGGCUGUCUGCACAGACUGUUCGUGGAGACUGUCAGAACCAUCUCAUUUCCACCAACAGGGCUCUUAACACCUUUCUGGUCUGGGAGAUGUGUACUCAGGGCUGGGGGGCACCUUCACAGGGUCACUAGUGUUCUACUCUGAGGCAGAGACAGCUUGUCCUGUGCCUCCUUCUUCUCAACUGUCUCUAGCUCAAAAUAGUCCUUAUAAAGAACUGGCAUAUUUUGGGGUGGCACACUCUGAACUCCUUCACACCCAAAGAGAGUGACUAAGAGAGGGCCAGCAACAGUCCAAAAGCCAUGGCCUACGGACUCACACUGACACUCUCUGGCAUGAUGGAAGCAGGCGGUGGUGCAGUCCUGAUUAGAGUCUUGCGCUGAAGAGUGUUCUUCCUGUGUCAUGACUCCACUGUGUCAUGACUCCAGAUCGUGUUCUGGACACAGUACAUUUCCAUUGUAAAUAUAAAAAGCAUAUCUAACUUAAUUCACAAACCCAUAAUUAAGAACUCAUACACCUCCCCAAUAAUAAUCAUGUUAGGUUGUUCAUUCCAUGGCUACAAAGAUGUAAAGGAAAUACUUUCCAACCUGCAGUGAAGUAUCCAGAGAUAAAACAAGGUGUGCCAAAAGGAAGGACAUGCUGCCUGCCACAACCUGGGCGUGCUGUGGCCAUCCACAGCAGGAGCAGAGGUAGGCUUGAGCUGGUGGGACAGGCCUAUCCCAAAGCUAUGAGGAGUGAGGAUUAGAUAUCUUUAGGAGAAAAAUAGGACGUUGCUAAUUACACCAUCUUUUAGUUGUAUUUACUAGCUAAAUGACAGGGCAGUUACUUAACACUCCCUCAAGCCUGAGUAGAAAAGCAACAUCACCUACCUGGCCCAGAUGCUGUGAAAAUAUAAUAAGUUGUGCCCAUAAAAGAAUCUCUCAGGGAUUGGAGCUGAGUGGAGCUCAGUGGUACAGUGUUUGUCUAGCAUGCUCAAGGCCUAGGAUUAAAUCCUUACCACCACCACGAAGAAGGAGAAGGAGAAGAAGAAGAAGGAGAAGGAGAAGAAGAAGAAGGAGAAGAAGAAGAAGAAGAAGACUCACACAGUGCACAGCACAAGGCAGAUACUCAGGAAUCACUUGUUUUUUUCAUUCUUACCAGCAAGUCAUACAGAAGAGAAAAUGUAUAAAAUGCACUGUGUUCAUUUGGAAUAGGGUUCAGAAAGAUGAGAAGGGCUCUGGAUAUCCUAAUAAUAGGACAGUCAGCCAAAUACAGAUAGAACAUGUUACUAGGAGACCACCUGCCUCUUCAGUUCACUCUUAAGACACAGACAUGUUAACAAGAGGAGCAAUGCUUCUCAGGGAUGAGAAGGAAAGAGUAAAUGUCCUUCCCUAGCUACUAGUUCUUCAUCAGAUGGGUGACUUUUUCAAAAAGGAAAACUCAAUGAUUUGUUAAGUUCCUAAGAGCCAACAACAGGCCAGAGAGGCAUGACACAGUAAGUAGCCUGGGUCUCUUAGUGCUGUGGGUGCCUGCGGAAGUCACACUGGCUCUUCCAGUCAAAGUCUUAAUUCUGUUCAGUGCUGUGCUAUGGGAUCCUGGAUACAGAAGGAAACAGUAGACUCUGCUUCUAACUUUAUAGGUUAUCCAAAGCACUUGAAGAAAAGAUUGAAAUGAAAUGUAAUGAUACUGAGCUCAGACAUCAUCUCCCAGGAAAACGUGUUUCAUUAUUUUACAGUUGGAACUCAUAUGUGGAAGAAUCAGAGCACAAAAUAAAGAUACUACAUAAUUAACUGGCACUGUAGUGGGGCGUUCAGGUUAUAGAUCUAUAGGAAUUUGAAGAAAAAGCAUGUUCCUAUAAAACCCCGUAGACUACUGGGUGUUGUGGGGAAAGCACUGAUCUCUUGUGAGACUGAUGUUAUGACAGUUCCAGGAGGGAUGUUGUUUGCUCUUAAAGAGAAGACAGCGGUUUCCCCUUCCCAAAGUGAUAUGAUAGCAUUCUGAGCAGACCUGGCAGCAUCACCAACACCUCAUUUCCUAUCCUCGCGAUCAGAUUCAUGUGAGAACUUCUGCAUCCUUGUGGAAAGGUGAUCGAUCACCUUAUCUGUUUCACAUCUACACUGACUAGUAGCUCAGGAGCCUACCUGUUUUAUUACUACACAUUUAUGUUUAUUAGAAAAGAACUACACAGAGUAAGCCAGAAAUCCAAAGUUUCUACUUAGUGGAUUCAGUUAUCUAUCAGUAUCUGUAACUGCUUUAUUGAGGCAUGAUUGGCAUACAGAAAGUUAUAGAUAUCUGUGGUUAGGGGACAGAACCCAGGGACGCUCAACCACUGAGCUACAACUGAGGCCCAUCCACUCCACACAUUUUUUUUUUUUUAAUCAUGAGACAGGGUCUCACUAGGUUGUUGAGACUGGCCUUGAACUUGUGAUCCUCCUACCUCAGCCUUCCCAUUCACUGGGGUUACAAGUAUGUGCCACCUCGCCAGGCUUAAGUUGUAGGCAAUUAAUGUAUAGGGUGUAUACUUGUGUAAUAUACUCUUAUACAUUUGAACAUAAGUAUACAUACAUGAAACCAUUAUCUUUAUCAAUGUCAAAACUUAACCUUCAUCUCCACAGAUUUUUUUUCUGUCCCCACCCCUUGGUUUCUUUUGUGGUUAGAGCACUUAAUAGAAGAUCUACAUCAGUAAUAUAUUUUAUAAUAACAGAAUAAGUAUACUUCUUUUUUCCAUGUGACAUUAAUAGAAUUAUUUGAAGACAGUCUUAAUUUUCUUUUCUCUAAGCUAAUCAUGUCCGCUUCCAAAUCCAUCUUCUCCGAGCUAAUUUCUAGACCAUUCCAGACACAAUUCUGUCUGCUGCCCCAAGUAUACACUUGUUUAGAUAGUGUCCCUCAAUACAGUGUUGCCCACAAUGGAAAAAAUACUCUAGAUUUGAUAGCAGAAUCAUAAAAUAAUGGGAUCUUGUUAGACUCUAGAAAAUAUCAAGGUCUACAACAUGUCCAUCCAGUUGCUGAAAAGACUGAGGCAGCUUGCCAUCAUAAAAACUGUAGGAGACGGAGCCAGGAAGGCAAGAUCUCAAAGUGCAGAAGCACAGCAUGGAAGCCAGCACUUCCGGCACUAUAAUUUGCUACCUUUCAAUUAAUACAGUUUCUAAAAAAUUAUCUUAUGAGAAGGACUAUCCUUCACCAUUUUUUCCACACAUAACUGGUCCAGAGCAUGUGCCUGCCACCUGCUGUGAAAGAAUCUAAAAUUCACAGAUUUGAGCUGAGGUGGAGUAUCCCCAAACCUGCCUCGAGAACAGUGACUUUUAAAUACACAUUUGUGAUAAUAAAGCACAUGUGCCUUUUCA